rnacentral:rRNA from 1 species
AGCCAGACUCCUACGGGAGGCAGCAGUGGGGAAUAUUGCACAAUGGGGGGAACCCUGAUGCAGCGACGCCGCGUGGGUGAAGGAGCGUUUCGGCGCGUAAAGCCCUAUCGGCAGGGAAGAAGGAGGACGGUACCUGACUAAGAAGCCCCGGCUAACCACGUGCCAGCAGCCGCGGUAAUACGUAGGGGGCAAGCGUUAUCCGGAUUUACUGGGUGUAAAGGGAGCGUAGACGGCAUGGCAAGUCAGAUGUGAAAGCCCGGGGCUCAACCCCGGGACUGCAUUUGAAACUGUCAGGCUGGAGUGCAGGAGGGGCAGGCGGAAUUCCUGGUGUAGCGGUGAAAUGCGUAGAUAUCAGGAGGAACACCGGUGGCGAAGGCGGCCUGCUGGACUGCAACUGACGUUGAGGCCCGAAAGCGUGGGGAGCAAACAGGAUUAGAUACCCCGGUACU